rnacentral:tRNA from 1 species
GGCUCUUUAGCUCAGUUGGUAGAGCAGAGGCCUGAAGAGCCUUGUGUCACCAGUUCAAGUCUGGGAGGAGCCACCA